UCUCCGUGGGUGAACCUGCGGAGGGAUCAUUACAAGUGACCCCGGUCUUACCACCGGGAUGUUCAUAACCCUUUGUUGUCCGACUCUGUUGCCUCCGGGGCGACCCUGCCUUCGGGCGGGGGCUCCGGGUGGACACUUCAAACUCUUGCGUAACUUUGCAGUCUGAGUAAACUUAAUUAAUAAAUUAAAACUUUUAACAACGGAUCUCUUGGUUCUG
rnacentral:misc_RNA from 1 species